UGAGGAAUAUUGGUCAGUGGGCGCAAGCCUGAACCAGCCAUCCCGCGUGCAGGGAGACGGCGCUACGCGUUGUAAACUGCUUUUCCAGGGGGAGAAACUUGCGCACGUGUUGCGCAAUUGACGGUACCCUGGGAAUAAGCAUCGGCUAACUCCGUGCCAGCAGCCGCGGUAAUACGGAGGAUGCGAGCGUUAUCCGGAUUCAUUGGGUUUAAAGGGUGCGUAGGCGGACUAUUAAGUCAGUGGUGAAAUCCUGCAGCUUAACUGCAGAACUGCCAUUGAUACUGAUAGCCUUGAGUUUGGUUAAGGUAGGCGGAAUGUGUAAUGUAGCGGUGAAAUGCUUAGAUAUUACACAGAACACCAAUUGCGUAGGCAGCUUACUGAGCCGACACUGACGCUGAGGCACGAAAGCGUGGGGAUCGAACAG
rnacentral:rRNA from 1 species